UCUUUACCUGGUAGACAUGUGUCAAUGAAACCACAAAGACAAUAGAAUAAUUUUUUUUUUUUUUUUUUUUUUUUUUACUUAGGCCUGCCUCAAACAGAACAAUAUAUAGUUGAAACACUGACCUUAUUAUUUUAAAUUUAGCUGGAAUUAAUUCCUAUUUUUAUUUAAUUUUGUAAAUGAAUUCAGUAGCUUUAAGUUUAAAUUCAUUUGCAAAUUUUAUUAGAUUUUUCAAUAAAUCUAACAAAAGAGACUGAGCCAGAUGUGUUAACCCAAGUGUUGGGAUAUUUGGAUAAACACAGCAUAUGCUGCCAGGGUAGCAGUAAAAAAAUAAAUUAAAAAAAAGAGACUAACAAAGAUGUAGAAGAUGGCACAAUGAUAAAGCAGAUAAAUUGAUGGUAAGGAUAUAUCUCACAAUGAAGAUGAAGAGUAUCCACAGGGGAGUCAUAAAGAGAACACUGCAGCUGGAGAGUACAAGACCAGACAACAGAGGUAAGUGUGAGGAGAGAAUCCAGCGGCUCCUGUCCUGCUGGAGUUGAUGGCAGUAAUUUCAGAGGAACCAGGAGCCAGUUAUGUAAACAUAGCAAUUAUGUUAAGAUUGUGUCUUAAGAAUUUAGGCCAAAUCUUAGACCAGAUUAGACCAAUCUACCUUUAUGUAACUGAAUUAAAAAAGUUAUGACCAGUCUUGAAGAAAAAAUUGAUUACUUUUUUAGACUAGUCUAAGCAGUUUAUGCAAUUGGCCCCAGAAGACUUCCUGGAUUUUGUCCUUGGACUGGCUGUUGGACUGGGGAUGAUAGCCUGAAGAAAGUCUAACAGUGAUACCCAGUAACUUGAAGCACUCCAGACUUAGGAUAUGAAUUGCAGACCAUGGUCAGACACUAAGUUUUCUAGUAAGUCAACAGUCACCUUGACAUUGUGGCCAUCGCACUUAAGUUAGGGCCACCAAUAACAAGUGAGGAUAAGCAAAAUUUGGGGGUUAUCCCCGUAUGUCCACUUGACAUCCCAAAGAUAUUCCUUUCUAAGGUGAACUGUGAAGAUCUGAAACAUAUGGUGAGAACCCUCGAGCCAGUGGAGUGACUCCUUGAUUGCCAGCUUGAUGGCAAUUAGCUCCUAGUUGCCAAUACUAUAGUUCUGUUUGAAGAAAGGUAUUAUUUGGGGAAAAAGAGUGCAUGGAUGAGGCUUUGCCAGGUGCCUGUGCCACUGGGACAGAAUGGCCCUCACUCUGGAUGUUGAAGCAUUAUGUAGAAGCAUUAUCCACACUGAGCAUGAGUUCUGGAUUGAGUUCAUGGAAAAGUUCUGAGGUGAUGCCUGUUUUUUAGCUGCUGGAAGGCUUGAGCAGCUUCAGUAGACCAGGGCAAAGUUUUAUCGGUGAGGGGAGUUGACAUUCAGGAUGAAUAGUCUGUAAAAAGUUUGAGAAUCUGAAUAAUGUGUUGGAGUUCUUUAAGGAUGGUUGGAGCAGACCAGGAUGUGAUGCUCUUGCAGGUGAUGGAGGACUAGGCAGAUGAUGAACCAUGAUUGGAGAAUGAGUAGGGGUAAAUCAGCAUAUUGUGUAUGUAGAUGAUGAGGAAGCAAUGAAGUUAGUACCAGAAGAUUUAAUCAAUGAACCUCUUAAAGAUGGAAGGUGAGUUGGAGAGCCUAUACAGAUUCACCAAGUAUUCAUAGUUCCCUAGAGUGAAGAACGCAUAUUAGUGGUUCCUGACAUUAAGCUUGUUGUAGAUGUGAGCACCAUCUAAAGGGCCACUAGAACCAUGGGUACACUGACAGUCAUAUUAUUGAGGGCAUGGCAAUGAAUGCAGGGUUUUAGUCCACCAUAUUUUUGAAGGGUGGAUGUAGCCCUGCUUGAGCGUCUCUUCAAUGUAUUCCACCAUGGCUCAUUCAAGAAAUCGAUUGUGGGGUAGUACUGCACCCGGCAGCAUGUCAGUGGCACAGUCCCAAGAAGAGUGAUGUGGUAGCUGUGAGGCUUUCAGCCUUUAGGAAAUUGGAAUAUGCCAUUCUUUCCAUUUUGAAAGAGGAAGAUCAAUAUGCAUAUGCUCUUCAGAGGGUUUGAAAAAUGGAGAAGAGGACAAAAGAGAAUGGAUGGGUUUCAACUGUAUUUAUCUGACCGUUAUUACCUUGUGUCAAGCCAUACCUAGUGCUUCAAGGCCCUCAAGGCCCUCAAGGCCCAACAAAACCUACCCAAUGCUCAACUUAUUGAAUGCAUAAAUGAAAUUAAAUACAGGAUGACUAGUUAUUUCACAUCAACACCAAGCUCUCUCCCUCCACCAACAGAGUGUUCCCUCUCCCCAGACUAUUAAUUAUCCACACCUGUUCCAUGUUAGCUGCAAUCACGCACUGCAUUUAAACUCAACCUGGACAUUCAGUCAGCGUCUGGUAUUAUUAUCUGUGGUCACGCCAUGUUGUAAUUACCAUCAUUUCAAGAUGACAGCACGUGAUUUUCUACACAGAGCUGACCACUUUGGAAUUUUGUGUUCCUAUGGCAACACUAUCAAUGCCAAAAAGUUCACAUACAUGUAGAGCUCAUAAUUAUGCUGCCUUCACGCCAUAUUGUAAUUACCAUAAUUUUGAGAUGACAACAUGUGACGUUCUACUCUGAGCUGUUCAUUAUGUGAAUUAUGCUUUUCUAUGGAAACACUAUCAACGCCUAAACAGCACCUGCUGUCAGUGUGGUGGUCAGGUGGUGCAGCGAUCACGUGGUACAAGCCGUAGCUCUCUGAAAACUCCCAGUUCACAAGUUGUAAUUACAAGUUCUACAAGGACGUGAACUCUUUUUACAAGCUGGUAUAUCGUGAUUACGGGAAUUCCAAUAUGGCGUGAACGCACCUUUACAGCUUGUAAAUUGGUAAUGUUCUGGAUCACAUGGCAUAAACCAACCAAUGAAAACAUGACACAUGCAACAAAGAACUAGGGAAGAACAAGACAGGAGCACUCAAUGGGGAAUAAAGACAUGAAAACAUAAUACACAAGAGCCAAACAACAGACAUGACAAUAACCUAGAAUACAGUCUGUCUCUUGAUGGAUGUAUAAGAUUCCCUCCUGCAGUUAGUCUCACCGCCACUAGGUAGCACAACCUUGCUGUGCACUCUUUAGUUAAAACUGUCCAUUAAGCUAAUUCAUACCACCUGUUUUUGUCUUGAGCCUGCCUUGACUACCUGAGUUCAGGAAGGCUAAGUGUUGUCUGUUGCCAUUUGGCCUAUUUUUUGUAGACAGAAGUUAAUAUGAAUCUACAGUAGUCCAUAAGCCUUCCCGGUCCUUCCAGCCUCAAGAUCUCCCUCAACUGAGGCCACCAGCAGGACUUCUACCCAAGUCUAAACUCCCUGCUCCAGAAAGUUGCAGCUUAACAGUGAGCCUUGAGGGCAGCCCUACAUUGCAUCAUAUCACCUGAGUUGGUCUUUAGAGACCCAGCUCCUGUUUUAGAGUUGAUUGAUGUGGACACCAAAGUGGGCAACUGCAUUCAAGAUCACCAAGGCAAGCGCCAUCAUGAUAUUUGACUGCCUGAGCUGCACACCUCCACUAUUUUGAUUGAAUGUCCUCCACUGAUCAGGUGCUCUGAGGAGCUUAUGCAACUGGGGAGGACCUGGGACAGACAUAUCUUCACUAGACCUCUGGAAUGCAUACCAUCUGGUCAGGAUCCUUGCUGGAUGAGUUACAUGGGGGAAAGAAGGCUGGGCCACACUGUGUGUGCCAGCAGCCAAUCACAACACUGGAAUGGAGAGGCACCAAAUUUCAAUCUCCUCAUCGAAAAAGGGAUACCAUUUCAGCAGCCUUCCCUUGUUCUGAGUCUCAGGACCAACAGUUCCCCUCCUCACAUUACUCGGAGCAUUCUUCUGAUCAGACAACUUUUGACUUGUCAUGGCUUCCAGUAUGAUGCUCUCAUUAUCCCCAGACCGCAAAAAUUAAGCUUAUUUUUUUCCCAUAAAGUGGGUAAAUUUUGCCCUUUUGUCUGGGUAUGUUUCUCUUACUAAACUCAGAACUCACUGAUGUUGUUGGGAGAGUCCAGUGGUCUAUUUUGAGUGGUAUAAUAAACCCUGAGAGGACCUCUCUCACACACUUGCCUUUCACUAAUACCAUUAGAUUACCACGAAGGCAUAUUCAGUUUUUGGCACAGCUCUAUAGCAUAGCUCUUCGCUCUAUCUGUAAAAUUCACAACAAAAUUAUGGAGAAAAAAAAAAUCUCAUAUUCAUAUGUUUAUCCCAUUUAUCCUGCUUAAGGUGUGCUUCUCCAGCUACUUUAAAUACAUUCUUUGAUCCCCUUUAUUAGUUGUCAUAUAAAGUCAAUAUUUAUUUUAUUAGUUAUGCCAGGAAAUUAUCCACUGUGAUUUUCAUUUAGCAACAUUUCAUUCACUAAAUGGGAAAUACAUUUCUGAGUGGAUCAAUGAUGCUUUGUAAUUCCUUAACUCUUGUUCAGAUUUGUUAUCAUUGUGGGUCUAAAUAAAAAUACAGGCAUCAGUCCAACACAGCCACAUCUAUAAUUGAGAAUGAUGUGUGGCAGAGUAACAGUAAAUCUGUAACUGGAGCUCUGGCACAUUCCAGGCUGUAAAUACCCAGAGAUAGACGGAGAGAGAGAGAGAGAGAGACUGCGGUGAGAAGAGAACAGGACGAGAUACACAGUGCCAAAAGAGAAAGAGUGAGAGGUGCUGAGUGUUCUGACAGCCGAUGACCCUGCGUAUUCAUAGCCAUUGACUGUGUUGUAGUUGGUGUGGCUCUUGUGUAUUUUAGAUUCAGAACAGCAAUAACUUGCAGAAGUGGGACUUAAAUUGUUUUGGAAGCAUUGAAGUUUACACACUGUGCCCCUGUUAUUCAAAAAGAAUGAAAUAAGCCUUUCUGAUGUAACAGUUUACAAUAAAGUCCCAUACAUUAGCAUUAGUUUUAUAGAUAACAAACUAACAAUAAGCAGUAUAUAUUUUUUCAACAUAUUUAUUAUUUUUUAAAUGUUAUCAUGUGUAUAAUAAUAUAAUUAUUCAUUUUUUGUUCAUGUGGUUCACAGUGCAUUUACUAAUAUUAACAAAUACACAGGGCUUAAAGUUCUCCGGCACCGUGCCGGAUCUCCGGCAUGCAGCGUUUGGCUGCGAAAAAAAAAAAAAAAAUCCUACAUUUAAAAAAAGACUUGUUGAUAUCACUGUCGAGUCCAUGAGUUCGCCUAUCAGUGGUAUGAGAGGAGCACAGCUUUCACUCUCAACCAAACUAACAUUACUAGCCAAUCAGAAUGUUUUGCUCUUAUAAACACGAGACGUGCCGCGUGUAAUAGUAGGCAGAGUCGCAGUCCUGAUGAAUGGAGAAGCGCGACAAAAAGCUGCUGGCGCGAUGGUCAAAGUCCAUCUAGCGCAUAUUUACAUGGGAAAACUAAUUAAAAAGCAACGGAGCUUUGUAAACAGCUCAGAGUAAUCAUGUCUUCUCCAUAAGAACGAUAUGAUUGCCAGAACAAAUUUACCGAGCUUUUUGAAAAGGUCCUGUUCACAUAUGAUCUAAUGGUAAUUUACCAGUAAAGACUGUAUGUGUGAAAGGAGCUAAACUCUUCCUCUGUAUGCUGUGAGAAUUGCUUAAAGUUCAUCUGGGAAAACAAUGUGCAUUAUCUCACUAGAUUUGUAAAGUAAAUCAUUUAUAAACCUUUGCCAACACAGGAGAAUAAGUCAACCUAUGUCUAAAUGCCAUAUUGUACAUCGCGAUUUCAAAAUAAAAGUUUCUGCAUGUGGCCAAAUAUUAAAAUAUAUUGGAUUAAAACAUCGUUUAAUCACGCUGUAAAGUGAACGUCACCUGCCGUUGGCGCCCUCUGCAGGUAUUUGUUAUAAUGCAUAAUUUACUUAAAUUGGUUAUGUUCAUAUGUUUAUAUGGUAUAGGCAUAUUACAUUAUGUAUUUUAACUGUGUUGUUAAAUAAAACCAUGUAAUUACUUGGUUUUGAUAUUUUAUUUGAGCCAAUUAUUAUUGCCUCAUCGUUAGUUUAUAUAUAAAUAAUCAUACUACAGCCUGGUAUUUACUUAGGUCUUUUUGUGUUAAUAAAAAUAUCAGAUUACUCAAUUGUCAAAAUGAUCAGUAGAUUACUUAAUUACCAAAAUGAUCAUUAGUUACAGCCAUAGA